GGGAAAAGUUCACCGACCCGCGCUGCCCUCACCUCUGACCCCGCCGGGAGAAAAGAGAACGGGAUAAGACGGGGGCGAAAGUUCGAGGCAGGGUCCACGCACACAGGUGAAGAGCUAAGUUAACAGGGAACUGAAGAGAACAACCACAAAGUGCAAUGUGUGAUCUUGAAUUGGAUCCUGGAAGAGGGGGUCAAGAUUGCUAUAAAGACUAUUCUGGGGGCAAUUGAUGAAAUUCAAAUAUAAACAAUAUGUUAGGAUGGAGAGUGCGGCUGAAAAUUCCAAGCUUCUAAUCGCGGCUUGGUCUUUCUCGUGACCAGCCUGCCUCUAGGAGCCAUCCAGGGAGCCCACCCAGAGUCACCUCAAUAGAACAAAAGAUGUGCCUAGUGCGCUGUCUUAUCACUUAGGAAUUUACAAAGGUUUCAGUAGCUCUGUAUCAGGAACUGGGGGCAGAGACCAAUGUAUGUUUUCUGUUAUUUCACAGCUAUAUCAGAGAAUGUCCUUGUUUAAAGGACAUAGAUACUGAACUAUUUAGACAUAAA